UAGGCAGUUAGUUUAAGAAAAACAUUUGAUUUCGGCUCAAAAACUUCUGGUUAAAGUCCAUAACUACCUAA
rnacentral:tRNA from 1 species